AAAUUUUUCUUCUUCUUCUUCUUCUAUUUUACGUGUCACUGGUUACUGGCUUGUAAUUCUGAGCUCCUGUUCAUGAGCCAUGUCUCAUGUUAGCAGAAAUUCUGACUUCCGGUUCAUGAGCCCAUUAAACAAAAUUGGUAGCCAAACUCAUCCCCAAUAAAACCCAUAAUGUCUCAUGUUAGCAGAAAUUCUGACCUCCUGUUCAUGAGCCCAUGAACAUGACCCAUGCACAGAAAUGGACAGAUUCGACGUAAGUUCCUCCAGAGCCAAAUCAUCACAAUCCUUACUAGCGUUCUUCCCUUCCCCCGAAGCCACAAACAACGACGACUCCUUCCCACCCUCCUCAACAUCCCCAACAACCUCAACUUCAGUCACCACAUCCGUGGUGACAAGUUUACAAGGUUUACAAGAUACAAGAUUUACAAGUAACAUAGCCCUGGGUUAGAUCAUCCUGAAUCUCUUGAGUUGAAUCCAAAGUGCUAUUGUUCAUCCUUGCCAGUUGCUUCAUAUUCAUUUUUUUAUUGUUCUAGAAUUUCGCAUGUUAUUUUAAAUAUAAUAUGAGACACAAAAAAUAAAAUUAAGAAAAUUAAAAACAAUAAAAAUUAGUUACCAAGAAAAUAAUUUUAAUUAAUUAAUUAAUUAUUUAUUGUACACGGGCCUAAUGGCCAUUUUGUACAGAAUUACA